rnacentral:lncRNA from 1 species
GUAGUGGCCUCGCCGCCCGGUCCGCUGUCGCAGCGCUCAUCCGCGCCGGGAGCCCUUGGCUGCGUCGCCCGGCAGCCGCGGCUGGAGUGUAGUGGCGCAAUCUUGGAUCACCACAACCUCCGUCUCCCAGGUUCAAGCGAUUCUCCCGCCUCAGCCUCCUGAGUAGCAAUUACAGGCCGAGUCUCACUCUGUCGCCCAGGAUGGAGUGCAGUGGCGCAAUGUCGGCUUACUGCAACCUCUGCCUCCCAGGUUCAAGCGAUUCUCCUGCCUCAGCCUCCAGAGUACCUGGGAUUACAGGGAGCAUUUCCUGAAGACGUAGUCAUGCAGCACGUCAGCAGCUCCCAGAGCAGCCAGCGCCAUGUCCAGUGGCCUGGGGCCUGCCCCGGCGCGGGCGAGGAGCAGCCAGCGUGCUCCCAGCCGUCCCUGCCCCUCACACUGCCAUCCCCCAGCCACCAACUACAGCAGCUGAUGGUCCAGACCCAGAGUCCCACGCAGCCCAGUCCGGGGCCGGGGCAGGCCUUGCAGAAUGUGCGUGCAGGUGCCCCUGGCCCUGGGCUGGGCCUCUGCAGCAGCAGCCCUACAGGGGACUUCGUGGAUGCCAGCGUGCUGGUGAGGCAGAUCAGCUUGAGCCCCUCCAGUGGUGGACACUUUGUGUUUCAGGAUGGGUCAGGGCUCACCCAGAUCGCCCAGGGAGCCCAGGUUCAGCUCCAGCACCCGGGUACGCCCAUCACAGUCCGAGAGCGGAGACCCUCCCAGCCCCACACACAGUCAGGGGGCACCAUCCACCACCUGGGACCCCAGAGCCCUGCAGCCGCGGGUGGGGCCGGCCUGCAGCCCCUGGCCAGCCCAAGCCACAUCACCACGGCUAACUUGCCACCGCAGAUCAGCAGCAUCAUCCAGGGCCAGCUGGUUCAGCAGCAGCAGGUGCUGCAGGGGCCGCCGCUGCCCCGGCCCCUGGGCUUCGAGAGGACGCCCGGCGUGCUGCUCCCCGGGGCUGGGGGCGCAGCGGGGUUUGGGAUGACGUCCCCACCCCCGCCCACCAGCCCUUCCAGGACUGCCGUGCCCCCAGGCCUUUCCAGCCUCCCACUCACGUCUGUGGGGAACACGGGAAUGAAGAAGGUUCCCAAGAAGUUAGAGGAGAUUCCCCCAGCCUCUCCGGAGAUGGCACAGAUGAGGAAGCAGUGCCUGGACUAUCAUCACCAGGAGAUGCAGGCUCUGAAGGAGGUCUUCAAGGAGUAUUUGAUUGAACUGUUUUUCUUGCAACACUUUCAAGGGAACAUGAUGGAUUUCUUAGCUUUCAAGGAGAGACUGUAUGGACCAUUACAAGCAUAUCUUAGGCAGAAUGAUUUGGACAUUGAAGAAGAGGAAGAGGAGCACUUUGAAGUCAUUAAUGAUGAGGUAAAGGUUGUGGCCAGAAAGCACGGGCAGCCUGGGACUCCUGUUGCCAUAGCAACCCAGCUACCGCCGAGGACUUCUGCGGCUUUUCCAGCCCAGCAGCAGCCGCUCCAGGUACUUUCUGAUGGCUCCACAGUGCAGCUCCCCAGACUUUCCUCACUCGGAUUUGAGGACUCGAUGUGCUGAGGCAGGACCCAGAGGGGUCCCAAGAGCCUGUCCUCUUUUGUUCAAAAUACAUCUUGAAACGUCUUUGUGAAGGCUCUUAGUUUUAAUGCAUGGAUGCUGUUAUUUUUCCCUACUGUUACUGAAAUUAAAAAGUGUUUGUCUCUGA